rnacentral:rRNA from 1 species
AAAUUGAAGAGUUUGAUCAUGGCUCAGAUUGAACGCUGGCGGCAGGCCUAACACAUGCAAGUCGAACGGUAACAGGAAGCAGCUUGCUGCUUUGCUGACGAGUGGCGGACGGGUGAGUAAUGUCUGGGAAACUGCCUGAUGGAGGGGGAUAACUACUGGAAACGGUGGCUAAUACCGCAUAAUGUCGCAAGACCAAAGAGGGGGACCUUCGGGCCUCUUGCCAUCAGAUGUGCCCAGAUGGGAUUAGCUUGUUGGUGAGGUAACGGCUCACCAAGGCGACGAUCCCUAGCUGGUCUGAGAGGAUGACCAGCCACACUGGAACUGAGACACGGUCCAGACUCCUACGGGAGGCAGCAGUGGGGAAUAUUGCACAAUGGGCGCAAGCCUGAUGCAGCCAUGCCGCGUGUAUGAAGAAGGCCUUCGGGUUGUAAAGUACUUUCAGCGGGGAGGAAGGUGUUGUGGUUAAUAACCGCAGCAAUUGACGUUACCCGCAGAAGAAGCACCGGCUAACUCCGUGCCAGCAGCCGCGGUAAUACGGAGGGUGCAAGCGUUAAUCGGAAUUACUGGGCGUAAAGCGCACGCAGGCGGUCUGUCAAGUCGGAUGUGAAAUCCCCGGGCUCAACCUGGGAACUGCAUUCGAAACUGGCAGGCUUGAGUCUUGU